GAUGAACGCUGACAGAAUGCUUAACACAUGCAAGUCUUUGGCGAAUCUGUGCUUGCACAGGCUAGCCAAGGCGGACGGGUGAGUAACGCGUAAAGAACUUGCCCUGCAGACAGGGAUAACAGACGGAAACGACUGAUAACACCUGAUACAGUUGCCGGCACGCAUGUGCCUGGCAAUGAAAAGAGAUGCUGCAGGAGAGCUUUGCGUCCUAUUAGCUUGUUGGUGAGGUGACGGCUCACCAAGGCGAUGAUAGGUAGCCGGCCUGAGAGGGUGAACGGCCACAAGGGGACUGAGAUACGGCCCUUACCCCUACGGGAGGCAGCAGUGGGGAAUAUUGGACAAUGGGGGCAACCCUGAUCCAGCAAUUCUGUGUGCACGAAGAAGGUUUUCGGAUUGUAAAGUGCUUUCAGCAGGGAAGAAGAAAGUGACGGUACCUGCAGAAGAAGCGACGGCUAAAUACGUG
rnacentral:rRNA from 1 species